GGAGGAACUCUGAGGAAGAGGGAGUGUAAGACUCCUGAAGAAGAAGGAUCCUGGGGAGAAUCACUGCUGUGAGGUCAGUCCUGGGUCUGCAGUUAGACUCUGUUGCUGGAACCUGCAAUCACAAUCUAGCUAGUUUCAUUAUCCUGAGGCUGAAAGAAAGAUUAAGGAUAUCUCUGGCUCCUAGGGCUCUAACAAAGGCUCUGGCCUUGUUUGCCAGGAAGGAGGAAUACAGCCUUUUCUUCCAGAUCUUCCUAUCCAUCUAUAUGCAGCGGUGUAAUUGCUGGAACAAAAUACGGGAUUCCUGUGGGUCACGAUAUUUUCAAGAUCAGCCCCCAAGUGAAUCACAGCCACUGAAUGUUGUAGGCAAUGACUAAGCGAAAAUCUCACAUAAGGCUGUGUCCAUGCUAGAAAUUAUGACCCCAAAAGAAGUGCAUUUGGCAAGAGUUGUGAAGCUCUCAGAGUGAGAUUUCUUGGAGGCAAGUGUAUUUCACACACACGGCAGCAUUUAAAGAAGCCACUAAAAUAUUCAUCAGACCUAUUCUUGAAUUCUGUGAUUGGAAUUUGGAGUGAAACAAAUUAAGGAAAUCAUAAAGGAGCUUACCAAUCAACACUAAAUUGACAAGGCUUCAGCAGAACUCCGGUUGGAAAAGGAUUUGCUCAACAGCCUUCUAUUCAAAACCAUGACAGCAGCCUAAGAAGACAUGGAAGUCUCCUUUGAUCAGCAACAACGCGGCAGCAGAGGUUUUCUCCACGCAAAGGUUUUCCCUCUGAUCUGCAGCUGGGCUGGCAUGUCAGAGGGUGCUGGUUUUCGGCUGCACUUUGCAUCAGACCCUGCUGGGUCCUGGCUGCUCCCUGCUUGCCUUCUGCCGGCUGAACCACUGCCAGCGCCGACCCCGAGGCACUGCAGACCAGCGCUGUGGAGGCAGCUGGAAGCAAGAAACCUCCUUGUUUUGUUCCUUUCCUCUUGAGUCAUUCAAUUGCAGUAUGCUCCAAACUGCAAGUUGCUUUUAUCUGCAGGCCUCCCACGUUACUCGAUGUUGAACAGGCAAUUGCAAUCCAGCCCCUGUUAUUUUGUCUCAGUAACACCUUGUGUACACCAGGGAAGUAGGAUGUGUGAGAGACGAGGCGUUAACUGCCUCUUCUUGAAUCCACGUUGGAGAAGUUAUUUGUCAUUUUAAUAUAUUGAAAGGAGGUAAAAAUCUGCAAGUUCACCAAAACUUUCAAAUUAAAAAAUGGUUCCUCACCCUAAUGUAGCUAUGAUAUGGCUUUCAAAACAAACCAUGAAGACUGUCGGUACAUUUAUCAUUGGGAAAGGCUCUGAUUUGUUGGGUCUUCUCAGUUUGUUUGCCUUAAAAUGCAGAAAUUUCAGCUGGGAAUUCAUUAGGACAGCAGAGAUCCCAAAUGCAGGGAUGUCUACCUUACUUUCCCUGAGUUGCAUUGCAGCUGGGCAAGAAAAUUUUGCCUCAGCAACUAUUUUCCAGAUGAGCUUAACAUAGCAAACAGAUGUGAUGGCGAAUUUAAAAAGCUUUGUGAAUAUAGCAUAAUCUGACUGAAUGAGUUCAUGUGCUCCUCACUACCAUACAUCUCACCACCAGCACCACCAAGCAAGGAGCAGGUUGGAAGAAAGCAGAAAGAAAUUCUUUCCAGAGGCAACAUAUCUGCCACUUUCUUUGUGAGAGAAGGUUCACGGCUCCAUUUCAAAUCACAUGAAACAAACACCGUUCAGAUUCAUGUUGAGAAACACAGAAAGAAUAAAAACCUUGUAUGCAAGGUGACAGAACAUUCACCCAGGGAAGCAGAGAGAAUGCCUGUGUAUGUGCACCCUCACUUAUGUACAG